UACGAAGGGGGCUAGCGUUGUUCGGAAUUAUUGGGCGUAAAGGGAGCGUAGGCGGUUCGGCAAGUCUCUAGUGAAAUCUCUGGGCUCAACUCAGAGCCUGCAGGCGAAACUGCCGUGCUGGAGUGUGGGAGAGGUGCGUGGAAUUCCCGGUGUAGCGGUGGAAUGCGUAGAUAUCGGGAGGAACACCUGUGGCGAAAGCGGCGCACUGGACCACAACUAACGCUGAGGCGCGAAAGCUAGGGGAGCAAACAGG
rnacentral:rRNA from 1 species